rnacentral:rRNA from 1 species
ACACUAUCAUUAACUGAAUCCAUAGGUUAAUGAGGCGAACCGGGGGAACUGAAACAUCUAAGUACCCCGAGGAAAAGAAAUCAACCGAGAUUCCCCCAGUAGCGGCGAGCGAACGGGGAGGAGCCCAGAGCCUGAAUCAGCAUGUGUGUUAGUGGAAGCGUCUGGAAAGGCGCGCGAUACAGGGUGACAGCCCCGUACACAAAAGCGCAUGUGCUGUGAGCUCGAUGAGUAGGGCGGGACACGUGGUAUCCUGUCUGAAUAUGGGGGGACCAUCCUCCAAGGCUAAAUACUCCUGACUGACCGAUAGUGAACCAGUACCGUGAGGGAAAGGCGAAAAGAACCCCGGCGAGGGGAGUGAAAAAGAACCUGAAACCGUGUACGUACAAGCAGUGGGAGCACAGGUUUACCUGUGUGACUGCGUACCUUUUGUAUAAUGGGUCAGCGACUUAUAUUCUGUAGCAAGGUUAACCGUAUAGGGGAGCCGUAGGGAAACCGAGUCUUAAUUGGGCGUUAAGUUGCAGGGUAUAGACCCGAAACCCGGUGAUCUAGCCAUGGGCAGGUUGAAGGUUGGGUAACACUAACUGGAGGACCGAACCGACUAAUGUUGAAAAAUUAGCGGAUGACCUGUGGCUGGGGGUGAAAGGCCAAUCAAACCGGGAGAUAGCUGGUUCUCCCCGAAAGCUAUUUAGGUAGCGCCUCGUGAAUUCAUCUCCGGGGGUAGAGCACUGUUUCGGCUAGGGGGCCAUCCCGGCUUACCAACCCGAUGCAAACUGCGAAUACCGGAGAAUGUUAUCACGGGAGACACACGGCGGGUGCUAACGUCCGUCGUGAAGAGGGAAACAACCCAGACCGCCAGCUAAGGUCCCAAAGUCAUGGUUAAGUGGGAAACGAUGUGGGAAGGCCCAGACAGCCAGGAUGUUGGCUUAGAAGCAGCCAUCAUUUAAAGAAAGCGUAAUAGCUCACUGGUCGAGUCGGCCUGCGCGGAAGAUGUAACGGGGCUAAACCAU